rnacentral:lncRNA from 1 species
CUUCAAAUGACCUUUUUAAAAGGCAGGAAAAACAAACAAACAAACCCCAACUGGACAAUAAGAGCACAGGUCAGUAAUCCUGGAGAGAGCCUGCUUCCCGCCCAGCUUCCUCCUGGGGAAGUGUCCAGGCUGCAGCACAGGGAGGAAGACCCAGGUGGAGGCUGUGGUCUCCGUGCAUUGAGGAGAUGGAGCUGGGGGCUGAAGGAGGACAAGGUGGCCAGAGUCCACAGUCAGUGCACUGGAGGAGGAUAGUGGUUCCCGGCAAAUGUGGAAAGUUUGGAGACUGUCUCCACUCCAAACUCAAAAGAAUCAAACUGUUUCCAAGCAACUGUGUCCCAGAAACUGUCCAAAAUGAAACAGAGAGGAAAAAAAAAAGACUGGGAAAAAAAAAAAAUAAGGCCAGGACCUUAGUGAGUGGUGGGAUAACUUCAAACAGCCUACUAUACUAUAGGGAGUUGGAGUCUUCGAAAGAAGAGACAGAUAACACUUUUGAGGAGUUGAUGGCUGAAAACAUUUCCAAUAUGAAGAAAAUUAUAAAACUACAGAUACUGCAAGCAAGACAAACAUGAAGAAGACUUAACUGAGACACAUCAAAAUCAAAUUGCUAGAAACCAGGAACAAAGGCGGGAGGUAGAGCAGGGGAAACCAGGACGUGCCCAACAGCAGGCUUCUCCCUGGAAACCUGGUAGGAGACAGUGGAGCAACGUCUUGAACGUACCAACGGAAAACAACUAGAAAACAACCUAGAUUUCUAAGCCAGUACAAACAGCUCUGAAAAGUUAAGGGGAAAUAAAGACAUUUCCAGAUGCACAAAUAAAAGCAUUUACCACCAGCAGGAUGGCACUAAAGAAAUGGAAAAGGAAAUCCUUGAGGCACAAGAAAAUGACACUAGAUGGAAAUCCGGAACUGUACAAAAGAAUGAAGCACAACGAUAAUGACAGCCAGGUGGUGGUCUGAAGGUGUGUUCACUUUGCAAGAAUUCAAAGGGUUGCAGUGCACUUUGCUGUACACAAAUGCUUCAGUGUAACCAUGACUCCAUACAGCUGGGGCUCCGGAAGCGUCUCCUGUAGAAGGCUGAUCAAUCUUGAAACAGCGGAUAUUACUAACAAGAGAAACAGGGAGGGAACAGGAAUCAUUAAAACCAAAUGUGUGCAAAUUGCUACCUUUAUCCAAGAAAUAAAAAAUACACCUGUUAAACACUCUGUACUUACCAUUUCUUACUGCGUUUAAUGUGUCUGAAAUACUUAUCAGCAACAAGAACCAGCUACUCGUUGUAAUGAAAACUGAGGGGCAUAUAUACAGAGCACGAAAAUUAGUUUUAAUGAGCAUCGUAAAGCAGCUAUUAGAGACUUUCACACAUUCCACUUUAGAUGACUGCUCUCUCCUGGGAAUGACAAGGACAGCUCUCAGCCUUGGCAUGAGAAAACAAAACUUAAGUAAUAGGAUGGGUGUAUUCUUACACCAUGAAUACUCAGAAAGAACAACAACAAAACACCUAAGCCACAAUUAUACUGCAUUUAGAUGAUGUGAGAGAAUUCUGCAAUAUUCAUCUCCAAAUCCAAUUUCUGUCCAUAUAACCCCUCCAAAU